rnacentral:tRNA from 1 species
GAAGCCUUAGCUUAAUUAAAGUGUCUGAGUUGCAGUCAGAUGAUGUAGUAUAAAGUUCUACAGGUUUU